rnacentral:rRNA from 1 species
ACUUGUUCUUUAAAUGAGGACUUGUAUCAACGGCACUACGAGGGCUAUACUGUCUCCUUUUUCUAAUCAGUGAAACUGAUCUCCCCGUGAAGAAGCGGGGAUCAAAAUAUAAGACGAGAAGACCCCAUGGAGCUUUAAACUCAUCACGCACCUCUGUGCCCCCAUAUCCUUAAACACAAGAGAUCUGCGUGCUAGUUUUAGGUUGGGGGGACCACGGAGUAUAACUUAACCUCCAUAACAAAUGGGCUAACACCCUUAUCCAUGAGACACAGCUCUAAGAAUUACCAAACUAAUGCUUAUGACCCGAUAUUCGAUCAAUGAACCAAGUUACCCUGGGGAUAACAGCGCAAUCUACUUCAAGAGCCCAUAUCGACAAGUAGGUUUACGACCUCGAUGUUGGAUCAGGGUAUCCCGGUGGUGCAACCGCUACCGAUGGUUCGUUUGUUCAACGA